GAUGAACGCUGGCGGCGUGCCUAAUACAUGCAGGUCGAGCGAACAGACGAGGAGCUCGCUCCUCUGACGUUAGCGGCGGACGGGUGAGUAACACGUGGAUAACCUACCUAUAAGACUGGGAUAACUUCGGGAAACCGGAGCUAAUACCGGAUAACAUGUUGAACCGCAUGGUUCAACAGUGAAAGACGGUCUUGCUGUCACUUAUAGAUGGAUCCGCGCCGCAUUAGCUAGUUGGUAAGGUAACGGCUUACCAAGGCAACGAUGCGUAGCCGACCUGAGAGGGUGAUCGGCCACACUGGAACUGAGACACGGUCCAGACUCCUACGGGAGGCAGCAGUAGGGAAUCUUCCGCAAUGGGCGAAAGCCUGACGGAGCAACGCCGCGUGAGUGAAGAAGGUCUUCGGAUCGUAAAACUCUGUUAUUAGGGAAGAACAAAUGUGUAAGUAACUAUGCACGUCUUGACGGUACCUAAUCAGAAAGCCACGGCUAACUACGUG
rnacentral:rRNA from 1 species